rnacentral:rRNA from 1 species
AUUGAACGCUGGCGGCAUGCCUUACACACGCAAGUCGAACGGUAACAGGUCUUCGGAUGCUGACGAGUGGCGAACGGGUGAGUAAUACAUCGGAACGUGCCUAGUAGUGGGGGAUAACUACUCGAAAGAGUGGCUAAUACCGCAUGAGAUCUACGGAUGAAAGCAGGGGAUCGCAAGACCUUGUGCUACUAGAGCGGCCGAUGGCAGAUUAGGUAGGUGGUGGGAUAAAAGCUUACCAAGCCGGCGAUCUGUAGCUGGUCUGAGAGGACGAUCAGCCACACUGGGACUGAGACACGGCCCAGACUCCUACGGGAGGCAGCAGUGGGGAAUUUUGGACAAUGGGCGCAAGCCUGACCCAGCAAUGCCGCGUGCAGGAUGAAGGCCUUCGGGUUGUAAACUGCUUUUGUACGGAACGAAAAGCCCUGGGUUAAUACCCUGGGGUCAUGACGGUACCGUAAGAAUAAGCACCGGCUAACUACGUGCCAGCCGCCGCCGUAAGAC